AAGGUCAAAGAUCGCUCAGUUUAAGGAACACCGGGAAACCAAAGCUGGGCCAGCAGCAAAGKCAAUUACUCAGUCCCAACCCAGAAUUUUGCACCUUGUCUGCUCUCCCCUCUUCGACUUACGUUGUUGCGAGACACCUGGGAGCGACAGGCUGGGGCAGUGCUGCCCAAGCGYAUGGCUGAUCCGGCCCCGCGGAGGCAGCUCCCGCGCCAAGACCCCGCGGGCCCUGAUCCUCCGUGGACCCYGGUCCCGCGCACAGCUGAUCCUCCGCGGACCUUUAUGCAGGUUCAGAGCUGCAGUGACGGGCUCGAAAGAGCCCCGUACGUUCUCCAGGACCUGCGGGAGCCCAGCACGGAUAUCUUGUGGGGGAUACAGAAAUCUGCAUUCAGAGCAGCCGCUCCUGCACCCGACCCGACCUGCGGAGUUUGUGGGCAAAUAAACCACAGGGCCUGAAGGCUUGGCUUCUGUGGACAUCAAUGGAUUAGGAUCAGAUACUAAAAAUACAGCUGAAGAACUGAGAGCGACCAUUCGAUGGACUGAGUUGUUUAGCUUACUUCCCAGCAAGCGUAAGAAUAGAUCUCAGUUUUCCUGCCUGGAGACUGCAGCCUCUGACAGGCCCGGAGAUGUUAAGUGAGAAUAUAGUUUUCCAUGGCUGAAAACCUGAAUCAAGAAAGGAGCCUCCAGGUGUCAAUUUGCUGGGUGAAACCCGCUCAGCUCCGGCGGGAUUCCUGGUGGGAGCACCGCAGGGAGCAGCGCCGUGGGGAGCAGCGCCGUGGGGAGCAGCAUCGCGGGAGCAGCAUCACAGGGAGCAGCAUCGUGGGAGCAGCAUCGUGGGAGCAGCAUCACGGGGAGCAGCAUCGCGGGGAGCAGCGUCGUGGGAGCAGCAUCACAGGGAGCAGCAUCGCGGGGAGCAGCGUCGUGGGAGCAGCGCUGUGUGGAGCAGCAUCGUGGGAGCAGCAUCAUGGGGAGCAGCAUCGCGGGAGCAGCAUCGUGGGAGCAGCAUCACAGGGAGGAGCAUCACAGGGAGCAGCAUCACGGGGAGCAGCAUCGUGGGAGCAGUGCCACGGGGAGCAGCAUCGCGGGGAGCAGCGUCGUGGGAGCAGUGCUGUGUGGAGCAGCACCACGGGAGCAGCGGUGCCCUGGCGAUGGCCGGGACCCUGUGGCCGAGGCACAGGAGAGCCAUCCGCGGCACACCGGGUGCUGCGGGCCGCGAGCCCUCGCCGUGAGCCUGACACAGCUGGGUGCAACCGCGUGGGGCUGACGAAAGAGAGGGAAGAGCCCUGGAACAAAGGGUCUUUCAGGCCACCGAAUGCAGGGGAGAUCCAAGGGGACAAAUCCGCUUUACAGGCAUAG
rnacentral:lncRNA from 1 species